rnacentral:rRNA from 1 species
CAGUCGCCGCGGGAAUACGGAGGGCGCGAGCGCUACCCGGAUUUACUGGGCGUAAAGGGCGUGUAGGCGGCCUGGGGCGUCCCAUGUGAAAGGCCACGGCUCAACCGUGGAGGAGCGUGGGAUACGCUCAGGCUAGAGGGUGGGAGAGGGUGGUGGAAUUCCCGGAGUAGCGGCGAAAUGCGCAGAUACCGGGAGGAACGCCGAUGGCGAAGGCAGCCACCUGGUCCACUUCUGACGCUGAGGCGCGAAAGCGUGGGGAGCAAACCGGAUUAGAUACCCCAGUAGUCCCUGUCUCUUAUAC